UACAGAGGUCUCAAGCGUUGUUCGGAAUCACUGGGCGUAAAGGGUGCGUAGGUGGCGUGGCAAGUCAGAUGUGAAAGCCCGGGGCUCAACCUCGGAAUUGCAUCCGAUACUGCCAUGCUAGAGUACUGAAGAGGUGACUAGAAUUCUCGGUGUAGCAGUGAAAUGCGUAGAUAUCGAGAGGAAUACCAAAGGCGAAGGCAGGUCUCUGGGCCACUACUGACGCUGAGACGCGAAAGCGUGGGGAGCAAACAGG
rnacentral:rRNA from 1 species